rnacentral:rRNA from 1 species
GAUGAACGCUAGCGGGAGGCCUAACACAUGCAAGCCGAGCGGUAGAGUUUCUUCGGAAACUUGAGAGCGGCGCACGGGUGCGUAACACGUGUGCAACCUACCUUUAUCUGGGGGAUAGCCUUUCGAAAGGAAGAUUAAUACCCCAUAAUAUAAUGAUUGGCAUCAAUUAUUAUUGAAAACUCCGGUGGAUAGAGAUGGGCACGCGCAAGAUUAGAUAGUUGGUGAGGUAACGGCUCACCAAGUCAAUGAUCUUUAGGGGUCCUGAGAGGGAGAUCCCCCACACGGGUACUGAGACACGGACCAGACUCCUACGGGAGGCAGCAGUGAGGAAUAUUGGACAAUGGGUGAGAGCCUGAUCCAGCCAUCCCGCGUGAAGGAGGACGGUCCUAUGGAUGGUAAACUUCUUUUGGACAGGGAUAAACCUACCCUCGUGAGGGUAGCUGAAGGUACUGGACGAAUAAGCACCGGCUAACUCCGUG